rnacentral:rRNA from 1 species
UACGUAGGGGGCAAGCGUUGUCCGGAUUUAUUGGGCGUAAAGAGCGUGUAGGCGGCCAUACAGGUCAGCUGUGAAAACUCGAGGCUCAACCUCGAGACGUCGGUUGAAACCGUAUGGCUAGAGUCCGGAAGAGGAGAGUGGAAUUCCCGGUGUAGCGGUGAAGUGCGCAGAUAUCGGGAAGAACACCGGUGGCGAAGGCGGGUCUCUGGGCAACAACUGACGCUGAGGAGCGAAAGCGUGGGGAGCGAACAGG